GAGAGAGAGACAUGCGCGCAUAUCAAUAAGCGGAGGAAAAGAAACUAACAAGGAUUCCCCUAGUAACGGCGAGUGAAGCGGGAAGAGCUCAAAUUUGAAAUCUUAAAGGGUUUCCCUUUACGAAUUGUAGUUUAAAGAAGUGUUUUCUGUUGAGGUUUUGGUAAAAGUUCUUUGGAAUAGGACAUCAUAGAGGGUGAGAAUCCCGUAUUUGACCUUUACUUUCAACUUUGUGAUACACUUUCAAAGAGUCGGAUUGUUUGGGAAUGCAGUCCAAAAUGGGUGGUAAAUUUCAUCUAAAGCUAAAUAUUGGCGAGAGACCGAUAGCGAACAAGUACCGUGAGGGAAGGAUGAAAAGAACUUUGAAAAGAGAGUUAAACAGUACGUGAAAUUGUCAAAAGGGAAGCGUUUGACACCAGUGUUGUUUUUCUGAAAAUCAAUUAAAGAACUGUUUAUGCUAAGUUGUUUAGACUUUAUCAGCUAACUGUUUAGUUUUGAGCUUUUCUUUAAUGCACUUUUCAGUUAACAAGUCAACAUCAAUUUCUUUUGCUGUAAAAAAGCUUGAGGAAGGUGGCUUGAGAUUCGUCUUAAGUGUUUAUAGCCUCUUGCCUAUGCAGUCGGAGAGAUUGAGGUCUGCAGCGUAGAUCCUUCGGGGCUAAAUGCAUUUGUGCUAAGUUAUAGCAUUUUAUAGACAACUUGUUGACUAUGAUUUGUCUUGUAGCUUACUCGCUUAUGUUAUUUUACCUACGCUUAGGAUGUUGAGCGCAUGUCUCUCUCU
rnacentral:rRNA from 1 species